rnacentral:rRNA from 1 species
CUUAAGUGGGGAAUAACGCAUCGAAAGAUGUGCUAAUACCGCAUAUACUCUGAGGAGGAAAGCAGGGGCUCGUAAGACCUUGCGCUUUUGGAGCGGCCGAUGUCUGAUUAGCUAGUUGGUGGGGUAAAGGCCUACCAAGGCGACGAUCAGUAGUUGGUCUGAGAGGACGACCAGCCACACUGGGACUGAGACACGGCCCAGACUCCUACGGGAGGCAGCAGUGGGGAAUUUUGGACAAUGGGCGCAAGCCUGAUCCAGCAAUGCCGCGUGAGUGAAGAAGGCCUUCGGGUUGUAAAGCUCUUUCAGUCGAGAAGAAAAGGCUGUGGUAAAUAAUCACAGUUCAUGACGGUAUCGACAGAAGAAGCACCGGCUAACUACGUGCCAGCAGCCGCGGUAAUACGUAGGGUGCAAGCGUUAAUCGGAAUUACUGGGCGUAAAGGGUGCGCAGGCGGUUUUGUAAGUCAGAUGUGAAAUCCCCGGGCUUAACCUGGGAACUGCGUUUGAAACUACAAAGCUAG